CAUCACCCUCCUGCCAGGGGUUGAAGUCAGGAAGUAGUUUAUUUUCGCUGAAACUGAAGGGGGAAGUUAAAGAGAAAAAUAGCUGCAACUUGGUCAAUUCAGGAAAACCAGGUACGAAAAAAGAGGAGCAAGUUAAAGGGAAAGCCAGCUCGGAUUUGCUCACCAGUAAAAGGCAAAAAUCCCAGUGUUAUUCAUCUGCAUUUGGUGUGAAAGACAAAAGCUCAACUGGGAUCUGAGGCUUUCUGUGUCAGAGGGCAAGGAGUCAAUGGGGUUAUGAGGAAGUAAGACCACUUGAGACAUCAAAGAAAAGUAGAUCAAAUCACUAGACUCCUCCAAACAGGAGUGGGUGAAGACAAAAAGUGGAGAGAAUCCAGAGGGAAGAGAGGAGUAGGGAAAAUGGUGGAAAGGGAAGGUUUUUGAGAUGGAAGGCAGAGAAUGGGAACAAAAGAAGAAAAAGCUGUUUGUUUCAAAUCAAUAUUCUCCAAGAGGAUGUCUUGUUUCCCCAGGGAUAUUCUGAGGGACUCACAGGAUCAGAGCUGCGACACUUCUAACAUAUGAAUUCUCUCAAUUCUGAUGCCCUUUGACCUCUGCCACACAAUGCCAAGACAAACCCAGACCCCAGGCCCUGGAAACAGAGGAGGGGCAGGACGUGAUAGAGCUUCAGCAACAUGGAGAGGAGAUAGCCGGUCUGGCUAGGAUGGAAGAAAUGUACAUGGAGAAGAAAGACAGAAGAACCAUCACUGAGCACUAAACUAAUCAGCCAUAAUGUGCAGAUUGACUGGCAAGCCUAUCACCACCUUGAUAACAGAUGACAUUAAAGAGAAAGUAUCAAUGUGAGGAUUAAAUGGGAUGAAAAAUAAAACAUCUGUCGGAGUGCCUGGAAUAUGGUACACAAAUAUCCAAGAUUGGAAAGAAGAAAGAAAAUGACGACAGAAUUUUGCAGUCUACAAGGCAAACACUGCCAUUCAUGUAGUUAUGGAGUUCCUACUAUGUGCAGACAAUGGGAAACUUUACGAAGGGACACAGAGGUUCAUGUGAUGUAAUAAGAAAGAAAUAAAGGAAGCUUUAUCUGCCGCUCUUUCAACCUCAUCCACUCAACACUUACCCCGUGACAGACCCCAAUACUCUUAAUGAAUUCCCAAGGUUACGAAAGAACUUGGAAGAUCUUACAUUCCUACAUGGUGAUUACAGAGGCUCACAUUUUGCCAAGUCAUAUGCAGGUGGCUGAAAAAUGUGAUCUAACGUCCUUGAACACAUUUAUUACAAUCCAUCAUCUACAUGGCAACAGUCAGGGCCAUGCUCAUAAACCAGAACUGGUGCUAGAUCUGAGCAGGUAUUCAUGGGCAACAAUUUAGGAAAUGAUACAGAAAGAAAGGAAGGCUGGAAAGACCAAAGAAAAACAGCUACAGUUUUGCCAAGAACCAGCCCCACGCUUCAUGAGAAUUGUGAUACAUUUACAUUUGGCUUUUAAUUUCUGUAUCAAUUUGGACUGUGUUUUUGUGAAAAUGAGAUAAUAUAUGUGAAAGUACCUAGCUGAAUUCUUGGGAUAUGGCAAAAACCCAAUAAAUA
rnacentral:lncRNA from 1 species